rnacentral:rRNA from 1 species
UACGUAGGGCGCAAGCGUUGUCCGGAAUUACUGGGCGUAAAGGGCUCGUAGGUGGCCAACUAAGUCAGACGUGAAAUCCCUCGGCUUAACCGGGGAACUGCGUCUGAUACUGGAUGGCUUGAGUUUGGGAGAGGGACGCGGAAUUCCAGGUGUAGCGGUGAAAUGCGUAGAUAUCUGGAGGAACACCGGUGGCGAAGGCGGCGUCCUGGACCAACACGUGACACUGAUGAGCGAAAGCCAGGGGAGCAAACGGG